rnacentral:rRNA from 1 species
UACGGAGGGUGCAAGCGUUAUCCGGAUUCACUGGGUUUAAAGGGUGUGUAGGCGGGUAUUUAAGUCAGUGGUGAAAUCUCCAGGCUCAACCUGGAAACUGCCAUUGAUACUAUUUAUCUUGAAUUUUGUUGAGGUGGGCGGAAUAUGUCAUGUAGCGGUGAAAUGCAUAGAUAUGACAUAGAACACCAAUUGCGAAGGCAGCUCGCUAAACAAAUAUUGACGCUGAGGCACGAAAGCGUGGGGAUCAAACAGG